AUGGAUGAAACAACCAAAAAUCUGAAGAUUUUAUAAGGUUUCCAUAUGCUCUAGGCCACAAGGAUGAGUCAGUUGUUGUCCUACCUGGAGGCAGGCAGUGCCUUGACUCAUUUGCUGCAGACCCUGUCUCUGACAUGCUUGGCAGACAUUCUCCCCAGAUUAGUCACUCCUGAGACCUGCAUUUGAGUGAAUCUUCCAUGUCCUGCAACCCUGAUUUCCACCUCAACCAUUCUUGCCAUUAUUACCUUAUCCAUGUCAUUAUUGAACUUGCUCCCUGCUAUAGACUUUGCAUGUAUGUGGACCUCCAAAAUUCCUAUCUUGAAAUCUAAUCACUGAUAUGCAAUAGAAUUAAGUGGUGAGGACUUUUGAGAGGUGACUGGGUCAUUGGUAUGGUUUGGCGGUGUCCCAUCCAAAUCUCAUCUUGAAUUGUAACUCCCACAAUUUCCACAUGUCGUGGGAGGGACUGAAUUAUGGGGGCAGCCCUUUUCCUGCACUGUUUUCAUGAUAGUGAAUGAGUCUCAUGAGAUCUGAUGGUUUUAAAAAGGGGAAUUUCCCUGCACAAGUUCUUCUCUUGUCUGCCACCAUGUGAGACGUGCCUUUCACCUUCUGCCAUGAUCGUAGACUUCCCCAGCCACGUGGAACUAUAAGUCCAAUAAAUCACUUUCUUUUGUAAA
rnacentral:sRNA from 1 species